UAGUAGGUAAUGUGGUUGUAGUCAUUGGAGGCGUGGUUGUAGUAGGUAAAGUGGUUGUAGCCGUUGUAGACCGGACUGUAGUAGUAGGUAAUGUGGUUGUAGUCAUUGGAGGCGUGGUUGUAGUAGGUAAAGUGGUUGUAGCCGUUGUAGACCGGACUGUAGUAGUAGGUAAUGUGGUUGUAGUCAUUGGAGGCGUGGUUGUAGUAGGUAAAGUGGUUGUAGCCGUUGUAGACCGGACUGUAGUAGUAGGUAAUGUGGUUGUAGUCAUUGGAGGCGUGGUUGUAGUAGGUAAAGUGGUUGUAGCCGUUGUAGACCGGACUGUAGUAGUAGGUAAUGUGGUUGUAGUCAUUGGAGGCG